CCCAACCCACUUGUCCAAAGCGAAAGGACCCGCCUAACUCUUAACGAGUCCUAACCCCAAAAAAAACACCACAAACCCUCUCCGGCCUCCCCUCACAGUCUUCUCGAAUCUUUAUCUCUCCGGCAAAAGUAUCAUCUUCCCUUACAAUUCACCACUCAAAACCCAAAAUUAGGGUUUUAAUUCGUCCAUUUCUCCUACCAAUCUACACAAUUUGCAUGCCAUGCCGCGGCCACGCCUUGACCGCUUGGCUUUUUAGGGUUCCGCUUGAACUGGCCGAUGCCGAAUCACAAAUCGUCCAGAGGGGCUCAAUUGGGUGAAGCCAUGUCGAAUUCGAAGCCUGGGGUCGACCAGGAGUCGUGUUCGAGAUCGAUCAGCGAGACUGUCAAUGGGUCUCACCGGUUCACGAUAAAGGGGUAUUCUUUGGCCAAAGGGAUGGGUGCCGGAAAGUACAUAAUGAGCGACACGUUUACGGUGGGUGGCUACGAUUGGGCAAUUUACUUCUACCCCGACGGCAAAAACCCUGAGGAUAGUUCCACGUACGUCUCCGUUUUCAUUGCUUUGGUCAGUGAGGGUACGGAUGUGAGGGCUUUGUUCGAGCUGACUUUGGUGGACCAGACCAAGAGUGGGAAGGACAAGGUGCAUAGUCACUUUGAUCGCGCGCUCGAGAGCGGGCCGUACACGUUGAAGUACAGAGGCAGCAUGUGGGGUUACAAGAGAUUUUUCAAAAGAUCAGCCCUCGAAACUUCUGAGUUUCUAAGGGAUGAUUGCCUUGUAUUGAACUGCACUGUUGGAGUUGUCAGAACUCGCCUUGAGCGACCAAAACAAUUUUCAAUUACUGUACCAUCAUCAGACAUGGGUCGAGAUCUUAAGGACUUUCUAGACUCUGAAGCUGGUUGUGACAUAGUUUUUCAGGUUGGCGAUGAACUGUUUAAAGCUCACAAGUUGAUACUUGCUGCCCGUUCUCCUGUAUUUAGAGCACAGUUUUUUGGACUUGUCGGGGAUUGUAGCAUAGAUAAAGUAGUUGUGAAGGAUGUUGAGCCCUUUAUCUUCAAGGCAAUGCUUCUGUUUAUUUACACGGACAAACUUCCUAAUGUACACGAAGUUAUGGGCUCAUCACCAUUGUGCACAUUCACUGUCAUGGUGCAGCAUCUUUUGGCUGCUGCGGACCUGUAUAAUCUAGAACGACUGAAAGUAUUGUGUGAAUCAAAGUUAUGUGAAGAAAUCACUACUGAAACAGUUGCGACCACACUUGCUCUUGCUGAACAACAUCACUGUCCGCAGCUCAAGGCUGUGUGCUUAAAAUUUGCAGCAAAUCCUGCAAACUUAGGAGGAAGUCAAUAAGGAUGUUCCUUAAAAUUUAUGAUAUUACAUCUGGGUCAGCCUAUGGUGACACCUUGAUAUCUGGCUGAUCGAGGGGCAGCAUUUUGAGAAUGCUGUGAUGCAAUCAGAUGGGUACAAGCAUCUAGAAGAGAGCUGCCCCUCAAUGUUGCUGGAGUUGCUAGAGACAUUUGCAGCAGUGGAUGAGAGUUCAAGUCUUCUGUCAAGUAGGAAGAGGAGUGGCAGCAGCAUAUAUGGGCUAGACUUGCCAGCAGAUGGUGGCGGGGCUGUAGCAGAAUCAGCAAAUCCCAAUGGAAGGCGUGUGAGGCGGCGGUAUUAGUGUAUGUAGUUAACUUUAGGCGCCACAAACCUGAAAGGAGUGGUCUUAGGAACAAAACGGUAGCUAUGAAUGGCAUGCGGAUAAUAGUCACUUAUCAUUUCCCAUUGUGUUGGACACUCCUUGUAUAAAGUUUCGAUGUCAUUUCCUUUGUUAUAUCAGGUUUGGUGGGGGGGCUCUUUUGGAAGUGAACUGAGAUUUGAAUGUGUUACAUUGUGCUUCAUGUAGAAUUUGUAGGUAGACUGUCAUUUUGAAUGGAAUUAUAUUAUUACAGAAAUGGCUCUAAAUAUCUUGGGUCUGAGUGUUGAAGUUA